rnacentral:snRNA from 2 species
AGCCAUGUGGUGAGCACAAAGCGAACUAUUCUUUCGCCUUUUACUAAAGAAUACCGUGUGCUCUCCACGCUAAGUGGCAUACGCCUAUUUUUGGAGGGAUCUCACUUCACAGUGGGAC